UGAAGCUACCCCUUCAAAGGCAGAAGUUGGCAGCAGGUUCCCUUACGACUGUACUCUAAUUAGUCAUUUUCCUCAAACCAAAAUCAGGCUGCCAGUUCUAAAGACACUAUUCUCGAAGUGUGACGCCAGCAAAAGAAGAGGGUUGAUGUUUUCCAGUUUUUGACGCACUCUCCUCUACCUGACCCCUAAUGUCAAAGGAGGAGGUUGGCCUUCUCCCAUGAGAGGAAAGAAGGCACUGUACCUUUUGAAUCUGGAGUCUGAAAAUAUUAGCCUGAUCUGAACCUCCUAACAAGAAAGAGGGGAAGACAUCAAAGAGUUCAAUCCAUCACCUUCAGGGAACAACUCCCAAGCAUGAAGUUCACCAAAGUAUGUGGUUGAAGCUUGCACCAUGGGCUAAUUGGGGAAUGAAGCCAAUCGUUUGUAAUGAGACAAGAGAACUUUUCCUUUAAGAACAUCUUGGGAGCAUUCCUGUUUCUGUUGAAGGCAGUGCAGAGCUCCUGUUGACUUCAGUGGAGGUUACUAAUGCUGUUGGAUUGACAAAUGACCUGAAUAUUAAUGAAAUCUAAGGACAAUUACUUUGACACUAUAAUCAACUCCUGUUUUCUUAAUUGAGAAAAGGUCUUCAACCUCUCAAUUGGGGGGGGCGGGGGGAAUCUCUGAUUGUGAUGAAGUGUCAGCAUCAGUCUAGCAACAUGUGACAUCUAACAUGUAGCAACAUGAAUUGCCAGUAAGCUGCAACUGAACACUACAUGCUAUGACCAUAUGUAAUGUCCAGUAGGCAGAAAUAAACUGGCUGUAAUCAGUAUUCUCCAAUAGGAACUAAAAGGUAUUUGGUAAAAAGUUAUCCUGUGGCAACGUCUAGUCCUAGCUAAAUUUCUGAAUUGUGAAUUCAGUUGAAUACCUUUUAUGUCAUGUAAAAGUUAAACGUGCAUAUUUCAAUACAAGAAAAAUGGGUGGUACAGCUCAUUAAGGAUUUGGAGAAAUGAUGGGGAAAAUUAAAAACACUAUUUACUUUUAUCAGUUCUUCAUGUAUAGUGCUUUACCACUUUUUAAAAUCAUCAGCAUUUAUCAUAUAUACGUAAAAGUCCCUUAUGCUCAUUUCCUCUUUUGCGCCGUCAUAUGUCAAGCACUCAUCCUCCACAUUAGUACACUGUAAAGUGAAAACUAGGCAACCUUGUUUCAUUUUCCAAAGGUUGUACCUUUACUUAUAAACCUUCUGAGGCAAUUCCUUUAACAUUUGUGAGUUGUAUUUCAAUAAAAUAUUGUCAUUCCCAAGCAUUAAACCAUAACAAGAAUUGUUUAAAUUCAAAGGAAUUGUGGAACUCUACCCAAACUUUUUGUUCUUACACUGUUUGCUUUCUGGUGUUGGAGUCUUUUUAAUUUCAAAUUCUUCUCCACAUUGAAACUUCAGCAUAAAAACUGAAGAAUUACUUUGUUUUUAAGUGAUAACUGAUGCUCAUAAAGCUAAUGGGGCUGCAUCUUUACAAAAAUGUGAAACAUAAUGAGACUUCUAAUAAAAUCA